GCUGGUGUGGCUCUGUGGAUAGAGCAUCAGUCUGAAGGACUGAAGGGUCCCGGGUUCAAUUCCGACCAAGGGCA
rnacentral:tRNA from 1 species